AGUCGUAACAAGGUUUCCGUAGGUGAACCUGCGGAAGGAUCAUUAACAACGUUUCCUCUAUUUCACUAAUUGUUGAUCAAUUCGACUUUUUUUGAAAUCUAAUAACACCAAUUUACACCGAACUGUUGAACCGUAUGUACUGUAUUUACCCCAAACCCCAAACCAAAUAAAAACCAGGCACUGAACUCCCCUCUUUGGGUGUGUUCGGUCCUAAAACAAUAAUUCUAAAACCAAAAAUCAAAAGAUUAUUAAUCUUAACUUAAUCAAUCUUACUUACACAACUUUCAACAAUGGAUAUCUUGGCUCUCGC
rnacentral:misc_RNA from 1 species